CCUACGGGAGGCAGCAGUAGGGAAUUUUCGGCAAUGGGGGGAACCCUGACCGAGCAACGCCGCGUGAACGAAGAAGUUAUUCGUAAUGUAAAGUUCUUUUAACAGGGAAGAAAGAGAAAUUUGACGGUACCUGAAGAAUAAGCUCCGGCUAACUACGUGCCAGCAGCCGCGGUAAUACGGAGGAUGCGAGCGUUAUCCGGAUUUAUUGGGUUUAAAGGGUGCGCAGGCGGAGACACAAGUCAGCGGUAAAAUCGCGGGGCUCAACCCCGCUCCGCCGUUGAAACUGUGUCCCUUGAGUGCGCGAAGGGUAGGCGGAAUGCGUGGUGUAGCGGUGAAAUGCAUAGAUAUCACGCAGAACUCCGAUCGCGAAGGCAGCCUACCGGCGCGCAACUGACGCUCAUGCACGAAAGCGUGGGUAUCGAACAGGAUUAGAUACCCGAGUAGUC
rnacentral:rRNA from 1 species